GUGCUGUAGCUCAGUUGGUAGAGCAACGGACUGAAAAUCCGUGUGUCACUGGUUCAAUUCCGGUCAGCACC
rnacentral:tRNA from 1 species